CGCGUAGGCGGCCAUUCAAGUCGGGGGUGAAAGCCUGUGGCUCAACCACAGAAUUGCCUUCGAUACUGUUUGGCUUGAGUAUGGUAGAGGUCAGUGGAACUGCGAGUGUAGAGGUGAAAUUCGUAGAUAUUCGCAAGAACACCAGUGGCGAAGGCGGCUGACUGGACCAUUACUGACGCUGGGGCGCGAAAGCGUGGGAGCAAACA
rnacentral:rRNA from 1 species